UCGGGUGUCCAGGCGCCGGAUCUGAGCGAACGUCUCAGCCGGUUAGCUCAUGGGUGGAACAUUGACAUUGGUGCGGAGCCGAACGGCUCGAACUCAGUACGCCUCAUGCAGGUAGGAACGGUUCGGACCCGGAAGCCCCGCACAUGCACGCUGUUGGGUCCUGAGGGACCGGACCUCAUCCGAACGGAUGAGAGCCGAAUCCUCUGGACCUUUUCUGGUGGGCCAUAACUGGGUCUGAGGAAAAGGUACCGCCCGUACUUUGAGAACUACACAGUGGACGCGAGCAUCUUAGAUUCGAACCUUCGGGUUCGGAUCACAAAGAUGAUCUGAUUUAUUAGAUCAUUGGUCAAUCUGCGUCAAAGUCUGCUUCGGCAGAUGAGACGUCGAUCGAUUCUAAAACUCAUGUGAU
rnacentral:misc_RNA from 1 species